GGGGGGGGGGGGGGGGGGGGGGGGGGGGGGGGGGGCGGGGGGGGGCGGCGGGGGGGGGGGCGCGCGGGGGCGGGGGGGGGGGGAACCGGCCCUUAGGGUCGGACUGGCUCCCCGACAGGGGUGCUAAUACCGGAUCAUGUCUUCGGACCAAAGAUUUAUCGCCUUUGGAUGGGCCGGCGUUGGAUUAGCUAGUUGGUAGGGUAAAAGCCUCCCACGGCGACGAUCCAUAGCUGGUCUGAGAGGAUGAUCAGCCACACUGGGACUGAGACACGGCCCAGACUCCUACGGGAGGCAGCAGUGGGGAAUAUUGGACAAUGGGCGAAAGCCUGAUCCAGCAAUGCCGCGUGAGUGAUGAAGGCCUGAGGGUUGUAAAGCGCUUUUACCCGGGAUGAUAAUGACAGUACCGGGAGAAUAAGCUCCGGCUAACUCCGUG
rnacentral:rRNA from 1 species